rnacentral:lncRNA from 1 species
GGCACUUUGUCUCUGCCGGGUCCCUUUCGGAAAACCGGUGACCCGGCGGCCCGGCGCGUCUCGGGGCGGGGGCAGCACAGCGUGCACGGUCCUCUCCAAGCGUUUUGCUGGGGACAAGUGCCUUUCUCUGAGGUUUACAACUCGCCCCGGCUCUGCUCAGGCGCCCACGGUAGCCGGAACUGGGCUGCAGCCUCCCCAGAUCACACUAAACCCGAGCCGUUGCGAGGCCCCGGGUUGCCCAAAGAUUGACAACGAUCAGGAGCUAAGUCUGCUUUCCGGGGACCUCGUGGGGAGCUCUGUGCCCAGCACUUUUCUCUCGGACUCUCUGCUGGGGGAGAGAAAGAAAAGAAAAAAAAAGAAAAAGAAAAAGAAAAAGAAAAGUUUCUUUCGGGGGAAGCAGUGAAACAGGAAAUGAAGAUUCGCUCUGUAGUUUAGCUGAAAGGAAACGCUGUCUAAUCCUGACAUGUAUCGCAUUUAAAAUAAAAUUCUUUUAUCUUCAUGCGUGCCAAGCCCCCAGACAUUGUUCGGACUCCUACGGGGGGAAAGACGUCAUAAAAUGAGAAUUUGUUUCAUUGUGGGUCGCUCUGCCAACACCGGGCUUUAAAGGAACGCCAAACAAAGCGGGCGCCAGGAGGGGGCUUCCCAGGUGAGCCCGAGACGGGAUCGAAACUCCUCUCCAGUCCACGAAAACGCCCAAGAAUAAGUUGUGGCUCUCAACUUGAGUGUGCAGCACAAUCACGUGCAGAGCUUGGUCAGCUGAUUGCUGGACACUACGCACAAGGAGCAUGCCUGGAUACACAGCUUAGGGACAAGAAACCUACGCUCACCAAGUGUCCACCAGCUCCUCGGCAAGGAGGGAGUAAAACGAAUUUUUUCUGCCACAACUUCUCUAGGCAUUUGUCUGGUCUUCUGCUGGAAAAUGUGGAUGUGGUUGUGAUCAUACUAGACCCUGGGAAUAAGGACAAACCUGAUGAAUGGUGAAGUGAGCAGAAAGAAAGUGGAUCCCAGAGGACUUUUCAGAGAGGAGCUUCCAGGCCAGCCCUAGGCUAUACAUCUGUGGACUUUGAAGCAAGAGAUAACUACUAUCUGUAUAAGGAACUUAGAUGGAAGCCAAAAGACCCAGCUGAUAUAUGAUGGAAUCCACGCUGCCCCCAGUGUACCACAGGAGAGGCAGAGCUGUCCUUUGCUGCUGGUGACUCAGUCCCUCCAAUGCCCCUCUUCGUCUUCCCCCUGUGUCAGGCUAUUGGAUCACUGCAGCACCCCCUGGAGCCCCGAAGCCAUGGCCUCACCACCACAGUGACGAUUUCAAAUGCCAGCUCUGGCUGAGGCUAAGGUUGCUGGCAUGAAAUCAAGUCUGCCAUUAGCACAAUGUCCAGGGAACAUUUGGGCAGCUAUCUGUCCCUCUCAGCCCAGGUACAUGGGGGUUAUGUUGA